rnacentral:rRNA from 1 species
ACGGCAGCACAGGGGAGCUUGCUCCCUGGGUGGCGAGUGGCGGACGGGUGAGGAAUACAUGGGAAUCUGCCCCGACGUGGGGGAUAACGUAGGGAAACUUACGCUAAUACCGCAUGAUCUGGAGACAGCAAAGCGGCGGACCGCAAGGCGUCGCGCGACGGGAUGAGCCCAUGUCGGAUUAGCUAGUUGGCGGGGUAAAGGCCCACCAAGGCGACGAUCCGUAGCUGGUCUGAGAGGAUGAUCAGCCACACUGGAACUGAGACACGGUCCAGACUCCUACGGGAGGCAGCAGUGGGGAAUAUUGGACAAUGGGCGCAAGCCUGAUCCAGCCAUGCCGCGUGGGUGAAGAAGGCCUUCGGGUUGUAAAGCCCUUUUGUCCGGAAAGAAAAGUCUUCGGUUAAUACCCGGGGAUCCUGACGGUACCGGAAGAAUAAGCACCGGCUAACUUCGUGCCAGCAGCCGCGGUAAUACGAAGGGUGCAAGCGUUACUCGGAAUUACUGGGCGUAAAGCGUGCGUAGGUGGUUCGUUAAGUCCGAUGUGAAAGCCCUGGGCUCAACCUGGGAAUGGCAUGGGAUACUGGCGGGCUAGAGUGCGGUAGAGGGCAGUGGAAUUCCCGGUGUAGCAGUGAAAUGCGUAAAGAUCGGGAGGAACAUCUGUGGCGAAAGCGACUGCCUGGGCCAGCACUGACCCUGAGGCAC